UGUCGGCAAAGUGAGUUUGUGAUGUGAACUAAAUUAAUUUGUAUACUGAUGCAUUUGAUUGCAGGAUAUUCAUGGAAAUGAUGUAAAGCUAAGUGAGAACAGCGGCAAGGUUCUUCUGAUUGUGAAUGUUGCUUCAAAAUGUGGUUUAACAUAAUCCAACUACAAGGAAUUGAAUAUUUUGUAUGAAAA